CAGUCGCCACGGUAAUACGUAGGGUGCAAGCGUUAAUCGGAAUUACUGGGCGUAAAGCGUGCGCAGGCGGUUCUAUAAGACAGAUGUGAAAUCCCCGGGCUCAACCUGGGAACUGCAUUUGUGACUGUAGAGCUGGAGUGCGGCAGAGGGGGAUGGAAUUCCGCGUGUAGCAGUGAAAUGCGUAGAUAUGCGGAGGAACACCGAUGGCGAAGGCAAUCCCCUGGGCCUGCACUGACGCUCAUGCACGAAAGCGUGGGGGGCAAACAGGAUUAGAUACCCCUGUAGUCCCUGUCUCUUAUAC
rnacentral:rRNA from 1 species